rnacentral:snRNA from 1 species
AUUGCUUCUCGGCCUUUUGGUUAAGAUCAAGUGUAGUAUCUGUUCUUUUCCUGGGGGGCUCAGUCAGUUAAACAUCCAACUUGGGCCCAGGUCAUGAUCUCCCAGCUCAUGACCUUGAGCCCCUCAUCGGGCUCUCUGCUA